rnacentral:rRNA from 1 species
GAUUAUGGCUCAGGAUGAACGCUGGCGGCGCGCCUAACACAUGCAAGUCGAACGGUUAAAGCCCCUUCGGGGGUGCAUAAAGUGGCGAACGGCUGAGUAACACGUGGGCAACCUGCCCCCCGCUUCGGGAUAGCCUCGGGAAACCGUGGGGUAAUACCCGGAUACUCCGCCCACCCCGCAUGGGGAGGGCGGGAAAGCGCAUACGGCGGGGGAUGGGCCCGCGGCCUGUUAGCUCGUUGGCGGGGUAACGGCCCACCAAGGCUAUUAUGGGUAGCCGGGUUGAGAGACCGACCGGCCAGAUUGGGACUGAGACACGGCCCAGACUCCUACGGGAGGCAGCAGUGGGGAAUCUUGCACAAUGGGCGAAAGCCUGAUGCAGCCGACGCCGCGUGCGGGAUGAAGGCCCUCGGGUUGUAAACCGCUUUCAGCAGGGACGAGGCGCAAGUGACGGUACCUGCAGAAGAAGCCCCGGCUAACUACGUGCCAGCCGCUGC